UGCGUGUCUUUGCUGCCUCGCAAAAGAGCAAACAGCAGCGCCUCUUCACUGCCUCGAAAACAAGCAGACCACUGCGCCUCUUUGAUUCCGCGCGAGCAAGCAAGGCGCAGCGCCUCCUCACAACCUCACAAGCUAAUUAAGCGCUGCAUCUAUUCGACGCCUUGCAAACAAGGAAACUGCUGCAUCUCUUCACUGCCUCUCAAUCAAGCAAACCGCUGCGUUUGUUUGCUGGCUGGCAAAAUAACUAACCGCUGCAUGUCUUUGCCGCCUCGUGAACAAGCAAACCGCUGCGUCUGUUGGCUGCCUCGUGAACUAACUGCUGCUUCUGUUCAGUGCCUCACAAACAAGGAAACUGCUGCAUCUGUUUGCUGCCUCACAAAGUGCUGCUUCUGUUUGCUUCCACGCGAAAAACCAACAGCGAUGCAGCAGCGCCACCUGGUGGACAAGCAAAGUGCUGCAUCUCUUCGCUGCCUCGCCAAGAAGCAAAGCGCUCCAUCUCUUCGCUGCCUCGCAAACGAAGGAAGCGCUGCAUGCCUUCGGCGCCUAGCAAAGCGCCGUGUGCCUUCGCCGCCUCCCAAAUCGCUUCGUGCCUU
rnacentral:lncRNA from 1 species